AUUGAACGCUGGCGGCAGGCUUAACACAUGCAAGUCGAGCGGAGCGAGGGUGCUUGCACCUUAGCUUAGCGGCGGACGGGUGAGUAAUGCUUAGGAAUCUGCCUAUUAGUGGGGGACAACAUUCCGAAAGGAAUGCUAAUACCGCAUACGCCCUACGGGGGAAAGCAGGGGAUCUUCGGACCUUGCGCUAAUAGAUGAGCCUAAGUCGGAUUAGCUAGUUGGUGGGGUAAAGGCCUACCAAGGCGACGAUCUGUAGCGGGUCUGAGAGGAUGAUCCGCCACACUGGGACUGAGACACGGCCCAGACUCCUACGGGGGGCAGCAGUGGGGAAUAUUGGACAGUGGGCGGAAGCCUGAUCCAGCCAUGCCGCGUGUGUGAAGAAGGCCUUUUGGUUGUAAAGCACUUUAAGCGAGGAGGAGGCUCUUAAGGUUAAUACCCUUGAUGAGUGGACGUUACUCGCAGAAUAAGCACCGGCUAACUCUGUGCCAGCCGCCGCCGUAAGAC
rnacentral:rRNA from 1 species